CAAGAUUAUGUUGCACAUACUUGUGACAUGUGUACAUUCCUGUAUGUAUGUUGUCAUUGUUUUAAAAAGACUGUCUACCUAGCAGGUCCCAGUGGGGAGUAGAAUCUCUCUCCCCAACUAAUGCCAACAGGGGGAGCUUGGCAGUAUGAGGUGGCGACCUGCUUUUGCUGAGAUGGUGGCAGUGGGUCCCAAUGGCAUAUUCACCCCCACCUGGAUCUGUGUCCUGCCUCCGAACAGAAGGCUGCCUGUAACAGAGGGUACAAGAGGAUCCAGAGUCUCACAGCACAAUACCCAAAAUGUUCAGGAUACAAUCAAAAAUCACUCACCACACCAAGAACAAGUAAAAUUCUAACUUGAGUGGGAAAAUAAUCAACAAUACAACAUCAAUAUGACACAGAUGCUGGGAUUACCUAACAAGGGUUUUUAAGGAAACUAGCAUAAAAAUUCUUCAGUAAGCACGAUGAACAUGCUUGAAAUACAGAAAAAAUAUUUUUAAAGUCUCACCAAAGAAAUAGAAGAUGACAAAGAAGAAAACGCCUGGGCAUGGUGGUGUCAGCCCCUAAUCCCAGCUAUUCAGAAAGUGGAGGCAGAAGGAUUGCAAGUUUGGGUCUAGCCUGGGCAACUUAACAAGAUCCUGUCUCAAAAUAAAAAUAGAUACAUAAAAAGGUAGCUCACCUGGGCAUGGUGGUGCACACCUGUAAUCCCAGCAGUUUGGGAGGCUAAGGCAGGAAGAUCACAAGUUCAAAGCCAGCCUCAGCAAGUUAGUGAGGCCCUAAGCAACUUAGUGAGACCCUGUCUCAAACUAAAACAUAAAUAGGCUGGUGAAUGGGCUUACCAAAAAAGAAGAAGAAGAAGGAGAAGGAGAAGGAGAAGCUCAGUACUAGGUAUUUCUACCACUGAAGGAUAUGGUAGAGCAACUCUGGGCUCAACUCCCAGCACUACAAAACAAAAAGCAAAAAUAAAAAUAAUAGAAACACAGCAAAUGAAAAUUUUAGAACAGAAAUAAUAAUAAAUAAAUGC
rnacentral:lncRNA from 1 species